rnacentral:rRNA from 1 species
UACGUAGGGGGCAAGCGUUGUCCGGAUUUAUUGGGCGUAAAGAGCGUGUAGGCGGCCAGAUAGGUCUGUUGUGAAAACUCGAGGCUCAACCUCGAGACGCCGAUGGAAACCAUUUGGCUAGAGUCCGGAAGAGGAGAGUGGAAUUCCUGGUGUAGCGGUGAAAUGCGCAGAUAUCAGGAAGAACACCCGUGGCUAAGGCGGCUCUCUAGUACGGUACUGACGCUGAGACGCGAAAGCGUGGGGGGCGAACAGG